AUUGAACGCUGGCGGCAUGCCUUACACAUGCAAGUCGAACGGUAACAGGUCUUCGGAUGCUGACGAGUGGCGAACGGGUGAGUAAUACAUCGGAACGUGCCCGAUCGUGGGGGAUAACGAGGCGAAAGCUUUGCUAAUACCGCAUACGAUCUACGGAUGAAAGCGGGGGAUCUUCGGACCUCGCGCGGACGGAGCGGCCGAUGGCAGAUUAGGUAGUUGGUGGGAUAAAAGCUUACCAAGCCGACGAUCUGUAGCUGGUCUGAGAGGAUGAUCAGCCACACUGGGACUGAGACACGGCCCAGACUCCUACGGGAGGCAGCAGUGGGGAAUUUUGGACAAUGGGCGAAAGCCUGAUCCAGCCAUGCCGCGUGCAGGAUGAAGGCCUUUGGGUUGUAAACUGCUUUUGUACGGAACGAAAAGCCUCUUUCUAAUAAAGAGGGGUCAUGACGGUACCGGAAGAAUAAGCAACGGCUAACUACGUG
rnacentral:rRNA from 1 species